ACGCUCGACACCUACGGGAGCAGCAGUGGGGAAUAUUGCACAAUGGGGGAAACCCUGAUGCAGCGAUGCCGCGUGAAGGAAGAAGUAUCUCGGUAUGUAAACUUCUAUCAGCAGGGAAGAAAAUGACGGUACCUGACUAAGAAGCCCCGGCUAACUACGUGCCAACAGCCGCGGUAAUCUGAGCGGGCUGGCAAGGC
rnacentral:rRNA from 1 species